rnacentral:sRNA from 1 species
AUGCGUUUCCCCCCCCUCGCGGCGCUCGCCCGCUCUCCCUCGCUCUCGCUCUGUCUUUUUUGGGCGCCAUGCUGAGGGGAAGGGAAGAUGGAGAGUUGGAAGAAGGCGAAUUGGAAGAUGAUGGGGCAGAGGAGACCCAGGACACCUCCGGAGGGCCUGAGAGAAGCCGGAAAGAAAAGGGGGAGAAGCAUCACAGUGAUUCGGACGAGGAGAAGUCCCACAGGAGACUGAAGCGGAAACGGAAGAAAGAGCGGGAGAAAGAGAAAAGGAGGUCGAAGAAGAGGAGGAAAUCCAAGCACAAACGCCAUGCUUCUUCUAGCGAUGACUUCUCUGACUUCUCAGAUGACUCGGAUUUCAGCCCCAGUGAGAAAGGGCACCGCAAGUACAGAGAGUACAGCCCCCCAUAUGCGCCGUCCCACCAGCAGUACCCCCCAUCGCAUGCCACGCCCCUGCCCAAGAAGGCAUACUCCAAGAUGGACAGCAAGAGUUAUGGCAUGUACGAGGACUACGAGAAUGAGCAGUAUGGAGAAUAUGAGGGCGACGAGGAGGAGGACAUGGGCAAGGAGGACUAUGACGACUUCACCAAAGAGCUGAACCAGUACCGGCGUGCCAAGGAGGGCAGCAGCCGCGGCCGAGUAUGGAGAGAGUGAGGAGCCAAUGGGAGACGACGACUAUGACGAGUACUCCAAGGAGCUGAACCAGUACCGCCGCUCCAAGGACAGCCGAGGCCGAGGGCUAAGUCGAGGCCGUGGCAGGGGCUCCCGAGGUCGAGGGAAAGGAAUGGGCCGGGGCCGAGGACCUGAUCCCCCUACCUGUCCCCAAGCAGGACGCAGUGCCCCCCGUGCCCGCGGCCCUGCAAUCCAUGCCCACCCUGGACCCCCGGCUGCACCGCGCUGCCACGGUAGGGCCCCCCAACGCCCGGCAGCGCCCGGGCGCCUCCACGGACUCCAGCACACAGGGCGCCAACCUCCCCGACUUUGAACUUCUGUCUCGCAUCCUCAAGACGGUCAAUGCCACCGGCUCCUCAGCCGCCCCCGGUUCCAGCGACAAACCCAGUGACCCCCGGGUGCGGAAGGCCCCCACCGACCCUCGGCUGCAGAAACCCACAGACUCUACGGCCUCCUCCCGGGCUGCCAAGCCCGGCCCUGCUGAGGCGCCCUCUCCCACCGCCAGCCCGAGUGGGGAUGCCUCCCCACCAGCCACCGCUCCCUACGACCCCCGCGUGCUGGCGGCCGGUGGACUGGGCCAGGGCGGAGGGGGCGGGCAGAGCAGCGUGCUGAGCGGUAUUAGCCUCUACGACCCGAGGACUCCCAACGCGGGGGGCAAAGCCGCAGAGCCGGCUGCUGACACGGGUGCCCAGCCCAAGGGUGCUGAGGGCAAUGGCAAGAGCUUGGCCUCCAAGGCUAAGGAGCCCCCGUUCGUCCGCAAGUCUGCCCUGGAACAGCCAGAGACAGGGAAGGCCGGUGCUGAUGGGGGCACCCCCACGGACAGAUACAACAGCUACAACCGGCCCCGGCCCAAGGCCGCUGCAGCCCCCGCUGCCACCACCGCCACCCCGCCCCCCGAGGGUGCCCCACCCCAGCCCGGGGUGCACAACCUGCCCGUGCCCACCCUCUUCGGGACGGUGAAGCAGACACCCAAGACGGGCUCAGGAAGCCCAUUUGCUGGGAACAGUCCAGCCCGCGAGGGUGAGCAGGAUGCGGCAUCCCUGAAGGAUGUUUUUAAAGGCUUCGACCCCACGGCCUCCCCCUUUUGCCAGUAGUGUCCAGCCAGAGCUGUGGCUCCAGCCACCCUUCCUAGGGUGGUAUUCAGGGCAGCACCCAGGGUGGGGAACUUGGGGGCAAGGGGAGGCAGGCUGGGUGUUCCUUUUUUCUUUUGCUUUCCAUCUCUUUUUUAAAGUAGUACUUUCUUUGAGAUUUAUAAAUUGUAUAUAACCAUCUUAAGUUCUGGUCAGUGUGGCGGGCUCAGGGGCUCCUGCUGAGCAAACCGACUCAUGCCCGCAAACCUGUGAACUGUCGCCAGUGCCUGGCCGGGCCUUGCUGGAGGCCCAGUGGGUUUUCUGGGCAAAGCAUGGCCCCUUUUCCCCAGGACAAAGGGAACAGUUGGUGUCUGGGAAGGUAUUGAACGCUCCUCACCCUGUGCCCGAAGAGACCCGGAACCAAGACCAUGGCAGGGCCUGCGUGGAAGCAGGUCCAGGCGUUUCUAGAACCCUAGGGUGCACCAUCACUGUCUUCAGUGCAGGGUGUGACAACCCACUCAGGAGACAGUGACAGUGAAAAGGUAUUAAGGAAAAAGCCCCCAGCGGCACUAUGGGGGCUCCCUGGCGCAUGCCUGCUCCUGUCCCUGGAUUAUCACACGUGCCCUCCCUGCCACCCUCCGUCUAGAGCAAGCGGAUGCCCCUGAGCCUGCAGCAGAAGCCUCCAGAGUGAGAACUGGACCCAAAGGUAGUGGGGGCCGGUGUGGGGCAGAGUCCUGAAGAGCCACCUCUAGGAGGCAGCCCCUAGGAGCACGCACGUUCUGUCAGUAUUACCCGACCUGUCCUAUCAGGGCCACACCUUCCUUGCCCACACCAGGGUCUGUCCUGGUCCUCAAGCCACGCACCCGCUAUGCCUGCACUGCAGCCCAGCCCCGGACAGCUCCAGGAUCCGUGCAGUGGCUGCGCCGCCAGGCCCCAACAAUGGGGACCCUGGGGUGGCUCCUGGCCAAGUGUUCUCUGUUUUCCUCGCACCUCCUUACACUGUGUGACCUGCAGGGCAUGAGGUAUUGAUGUGUUCGGAUUUCCUCUCCCAAGCCAGCAGAUGCAGGUGUUCAAGGUGUGUUGCUCUGUGGGAUUUGUGGACACUUAAGAAGCGGACUGAGUGGGAACCCUGCAGCCAGGGGAUGGGGAGCUUCUGCUCCCCCCAUGCUCCCACCCUGGCUGAGGGCCAGCCUCAUCUGCAGAGCCCUGGAGGAGGCCCACCUAUGGACACAGCCUGGGAGAUGGGCGCAAGGGGUGCUGGGGGAGGCCUGCUAUCCUGCCUCUGGGCCACUUGAGGGGCCUCAGGAAGUGUGUGCUUGUGGCUGCAUCUGCCCGUCUCCUUGGCCCACCAUGUGGCUGCAGGCCAAUCUCUUCAUUGCUGACCAUGAAGAGACCUAGUUACCUGCCAAGGGAUUCCCCUUCCCUCCUCCUCAGGGUGGGGUGAACAAGGCUCCUAUCCUACCCCACCCC